CAGGUUACCCAGGAAUGAAAUUGAUUCUAGCUUUGGUUUCUGAAAAGGGCUUCAUGAACACUGUCACAGCUAUGCUUUGAUAUAGCAUCACUGAUUUAUGGAAGAGGAAACUGAGGCUCAGAGAGGUUGAGAACUUCCUUCAAGGAGAAGCAGAACUGGACCUAACUCCAGGGCAGUUAGGCCCUAACCCUAAGAAGUUCUCAGAGAGGCUGAGAAUUCCUACAAUGAGGAAUUGCUGAUGGACGUCCAGCAGGCCUAACUCAGGGAGGCUGUCUGUUCUUCUGUGCUGCCUAAAGACGUCACUGGGUCCCUGGCCAAAGGUUAUCUCUCCUCCCUGUGAGAGAACUGCAGACAAGGACCAAGAGGAGAAAGUUUGAGCCUUGCCAGGUCGAUACUGGGUGCCGAAUGAGCUGUGCCUACUUAUUAUCCCCUAAAAACUACAGGCUCUCCUGACCCCGUCUGUUGAAGGGCUCCACCCUGAAACCAGUAAUCCAAUUAAGAAACUUUAAGGAAUUGGCAAGUGAAAAAAAUCUUACAACUACUGGAUCUUCUGUCUGUAUUUAUAUGUGUUGUGUAUGUAUUGUUUAUAUAAAAGAGCUCUAAUUAAUUGGCUUAAAGAAAUAAACACUUAAAUAUUUUGUCAGGAAAAUUAAAACUAAUGCCUUUUAGUUCACAUGACUUUAACAAUCUUUCAGAAAUAAAGACAGUUUUAAAGGUUAUUGGUAAAAUAUAAACGUCUUCAAAAUUUAGACAUUUGGUCUAAAUUAGGUCAGAUAUUAAGUUUACUAAAUGCUUUAAGGUCAUAAACUGUUUCUUUGACUUUUGAAAAUUAUUUAAUUUAUCUACCUUGAAGCCAUUAAAUUCUAGAUAAGGCCUAGAGAAAUGUAGAAUUAACCAUGCCCCCUAAAUAUACACAAAAAAAAGGGUUAUAAAGAAAAGAGAUUUUAUAUAAGAAAAGAUCUUGUCUGGUAAAUUCUUGUCCUAAAGUAAAUUAACUGGCUAUUUAAAAAUAGAGAUGUUUAGGGCAAGACAGAAAGUCCAAACAUAUCAUAGAUUGUCUGUGUAAGUUGUAAAAAGAUUCGUGAAAGGGAAUUUAUACAAGAAAUGUUGUACAAUUCAAAGGUUGUUAGGCCUCCUAAAUGCUUCAUAAAAUACUUGAUAAAAUGCCACUAUGACUCUUACUGUACAACUUGCCUACUUUACAACUAAAUAAGGCCUGGGACAUGUGAAAUGAACUGUGCCCCCUAACUAUACUGGAAAGAGUCAGACCUUCUGGUGUCCCACAUCCAUACCUGGUAUAUAAUUAUCACUUACUAACCAGGUUUUUUAACAAAAAUAAAGUUACUAAGAGUUAACAGUGUUAACACGUAUUUGAGACUACUGAAUAAAGACUUCUACACACAAGGUGUGUAAGGAAAGUAGAAUGUACUUUUGGUAUAAAAAAAUUAUAAAAAGAUCUGGGAAUGUGGAUUUCUUGCCUCAGUUUAGAGGCUUAAAGGAUUGUUUUAAGCAGGAUAGGAAAGAUCUAAAGGUUUGAACAAGUUGUGGAAGGUUUAUAAAAAAUUAGUUGUAAAAGAUUCUGUGUGUGAACAUAUUGACUAAAGUUAAAGUGACAUUACUCAGUUCUCCCAUAAAUUGGACAUUGGAAUAAAAGCACAACAGAGUUUUCUGAGAACAUUGUUCUGCAAUAAAAAAAUAUAAAGGGUUAUAAAAGGCUUAUACAAAUCUUACAGUCAAACUAAUUAAAACUGGAUACAUUUAUAGAAUUUUAUCAAAAACUAGCUUUAGCAUUAAAGAUGCACUAAUACAUCCAUGAAAUUUGUUUUUUUCUUUUGAAAAAGAGUUUUACAUAAUAUUGAGAGACACUGAAAGAUUUUUGUUUGCCUUUUAAGAAAACUACAAAAAUAAGGGGAGGGGAGGGAAGAGAGAAGAGGAGAGAAAACUGGCCUCAAACUAUAUUCACUGGGACUUGUUUAGAAAGCCAAGUCUCCUCUUCAUCAGAAUAAAGGUUUUUUUUUCCUUUUUAAAAUUUUUGAGUUAUCACUUUGGCUAAAUAAAUGACUUACGGUAACCUAGAAUUCUAUUUUGUAAUCUCCAGUGUUUUAAAUCUUUGAUAUUUAACCAACCUCCCAAAAUCAAACUUAAGUAAAAAACAAGAAAAAAAAAUUAGGUCCCCUGAAGUCCAAAAAAGACAUAUUUGACUUACUUAAUGUAUUAAAAUCAUACAGGAAACGUAAAAUAUAAAAUGGUGUUUAAUUUUCUUUGGUUUAUUUGCAUAUAAAUUUGUUAUUAGUAUGUGUAUACAUAAUUACAUAAGAUUUCUAUAAUUCUGAUAUGCCUCAGUAUAUGUCAUCAGUAAUAACUAUAAUUGUUAUGUUAAAUUAUUGUGUGUCACAGAGGUAACAAAUUUCUCUGUUAAUUGUGUCUUUGACUGUGGCUUCCCUAAAACUUUGUUGUCAUCCACAGAAAAUUGUUGUCUGGAUUUGGUCCUCUUUAAAAGUUGGUUUUAUGAUCAACUAUAAAACUCUGACAAGUGCUCUUAAGUACAAAUUUCUGAUAACUUUAAAGAUUAUUACAUUAGAGUAAAGGAAAAAAGCCUUUCAAGGCUCUCAUAGAGAACUAAAAUAUUAAUGAAUAUCAAACAGAAUAAGAAUUACCUAAAUGGACUGAACUAAUAGAAAACUGAAGUAAUCUUUUUUAACUUUUUUUGCUUAAAACAAUGCUGAUCCUUUUCAUUUUUCAGAUCCAAGGAAACCUUUCUUUUGAACUAUUUCCAACUUCUAACAAUUGAAUAAAAUAUACUCCUGUGAAAAAAAUUUAGAACAUACAUUUUUUCUCUCUACCUAAUUUCUCCACAAUUUAAAAAUUUUGUGAGCAUUCUUUACUUAUGACAAUAUGGUUAUUUACAUAAGUACAAUAAGAAUAUUUUCUUUUACAACAUAACACAAUUAGAGAAACUGGUUAUUUCACCAAGACUGACUAGAAUGACAUACUUUCCUUUAAAGAAUCAAACUUGACUUGUAGAACCAAUAAAAACCCCUUGAGAAAACUGGCCUCAUACCUUGUCCACACAGUCCCUAUACAGUGUUCCUGACCUGUGAUAAAUAAAGAAUGUCACUUUCUAACAGGCCCAGGUGCCCUAUGGUAUCUUGGGACCUCAAGAGAAGAGGAAUUUACCCAACUCAUAGGUACUUGAGGCUACAAACCCAUGACAGGACUUGGCUUUAAAAAGUCUUAUCUGAGAUUCCUUAUGGAACAGAGUUCCAUCAAAGCAAAAUUUAAAAGCCUAUGUAAAAAAUAACUAUUCUUACUGCACUUCAUACAAAUAAUCAGACCAAGUAUAAUAAAACUAAAAUUUAUUCUACAAACAAGUCAAUCCUAUUAUGAUUUGUUAAUAAAAAUAAGGAUUGGAAAGAGAAAAAUUGUGUUCCAAAAACUAUAGUACACCUGUUGUUGGUUGUUUUUGAGUUUUUAUUUUUAUUUUUCUUCAAUUUAGACUUAAUCCUAAAUUAUUUAUAGACUACAAGUCUCCAAACUAAUAUUUUCAAAUCUUUACUUUUAAAACUGAGAAUUAUACUCCUUAUCCUAUAACUCAUUUUUUACCUUAUAGUACAUUGUCCACUUAAAUCUGUGCUAAAACUAUAGAUGGGAAUACUAACACUUUUGUCAUAAAAGCCUUGGAGGCCGGGUGCAGUGGCUCACGCUUGUAAUCCCAGCACUUUGGGAGGCUGAGGUGGGCGGAUCACCUGAAGUCAAGAGUUCGAGACCAGGCUGACCAACAUAGAGAAACCCUGUCUUUACUAAAAAUAAAAAAUUAGCUGGGCGUGUUGGUGCAUGCCUGUAAUCCCAGCUACUCGGGAGGCUGAGGCAGGAGAAUUGCUUGAACCAAGGAGGCGGAGGUUGCAGUGAGCCAAGAUCACGCCAUUGCACUCCAGCCUAAGCAACAAGAGCAAAACUCCGUCUCAGAAAAAAAAAACCUUGGACUCCCAGCCCAGCCUAUGUGAGUAUGCUCAAAAAACUCAGACAACUACAAAGUGGUUCCACUCCUCUCACCUGGGAGUCAACUCCUACCCCCACUAUGCCCCCUGUCAGGAGAAAGAAGCCAGAGUGAUUGAUGGCUGUUUCCCAUCUGCAUAGCCCACACCUUAAGAAUAAGAUGCUUUGAAACCCAAAGGGAGGGAUUGAAACUGCUUUUGCAAAAAUUAUACCUAAGGAAAGUAUGACAGUGAAAGAGAUCAGAACUAAUUGACUCCAUCUUGCUUCUAACCUUUAAGCUGUCCUUUUUCAUUCCUGGGCAUAGGCCAAACUAACUUUGGGAAGAAAUUCAGGUCAUGGUUUGACUCUGAAACAAAACUGAUAAUAGCCCUUUCCUGAAAAGACCCCCUUCUUGUCUGGGGACUAGUCGGCCUUUGCAGGACUAACAAAUUAGCUACAAGAUUAGAAAUUACAGUUUGGAGGUCAUGCAACCUCUGGCUCCAAGAGUCUGAACCUCCCCAAAUUGCUCCUGGGGAUAACAUCACUAUUGUAGAACCUAAUAUCAGCGCUUGAGAUAUUUCGUAGACCAUACACUGGAUGGAUCAACUACCACCACCUAGAAUGGUAAUCUGACUCAACUAGUUCUGCCAUCCCACCCAGGAACAGAAGACAGCAAGAAAAUCUCAUUUCAAUCCCGCUAUGAUUCCAUUUCCAACCUGACCAACAGCACUCCCCACUUCCCAAGCUCCUACCUGCCAAAUUAUCUUUAAAAACUCCAAUCCCCAAAUGCUUGGGGAGAGUAAUUUGAGUAAUAAUAAAACUCUGGUCUCCCACACAGCUGGUUCUGCAUGAAUUACUCUUUCUCCAUUAUAAUUGUAUUGUCUUGAUAAAUCAGCUCUGUCUGGGCAGCUGGCAAGGUGAACACAUUUUCUCCCCAGUCUAGAGAGCGAAAACAGGAUCUUACAUUAUCACGAAUUUUCUAAACUCUUUUAUGACAUAAACUCAGCUCUGGAAAUCCUGUAUCUCUUUCUCUUAAACUAUUAUCUUGGCUUAUUUUGAAAGUCAGAAGCUAACCCAGCAUGAUUCACAAUAGCCAAAAUAUGGAAACUACCCAAACAUCUAUCAAGAGAUGAAUGGAUAAACAAAAUGUGGCAUAGCCAUACAAUUUAAUGUUAUUUGGAAAUAGAAAUAAGUACUGACGCAUGCUACGACAUGGAUAAAGCAUGAAAACAUCAUGCUGCAUGAAAUCAGCCAGACACAAAAGGACAAAUAUUGUAUGAAUCCAUUUAUAUGGGCCUAGAAUAGGCAAAGUCAUAGAGACUGUGUGAUAGAGGUUACCAGGGGCUGGAGACAGUGGGUACGGGAAGUUAUUAUUUAAUGGUGUUUUAGUUUGCUAUGGCUACUAUAAUAAAAUACCAAAACCUGGCUAGCUUAAAUAAAAAUAGUUCAAUAAAAAUAGUUAAAAUGGUAAAAUGCAUUUUCUCAUAAUUCUGGAGAACAGAAGUCCGAUAUCAAGAUGCUAGCAGGGUUGGAUUUCUCUCUCCUUGGCUUGCAGAUGGCUGUCUUCUCCCUGUGUCUUCACAUGGUCUUUCCUCUGUGCCUGGCUGUGGCUGUGUCCAAAUCUCCUGGUUUAUUUAUUUAUUUAUUUAUUUAUUCAUUCUUGAGACGGAGUCUCGCUCUGUCGCCCAGGCUGGAGUGAAGUGGCGCGAUCUUGGCUCACUGCAACCCCGCCUCCCAGGUUCAAGCAAUUUUUCUGCCUCAGCUUCCCGAGUAGCUGAGACUACAGGCAUGUACCACCACAAUUUUUGUAUUUUUAGUAGAGAUGGGGUUUCAUCAUGUUGGCCAGGCUGGUCUUGAACUCCUGACUCAAGUGAUCUGCCCACCUCGGCCUCCCAAAGUGCUGGGAUUACAGGCAUAAGCCACUGCGACUGGCCCAAAUCUUCUGUUAUUAUAAGGAUACCAGCCAUAUGAAAUUAAGGCCCACCCCAAUGACUUUGUUUUGACCUCUUGGAAGACCAUGUCUCCAAAUACAAUUACAUUCUGUGGUACUGGGGUAUAGGACUUCAACAUAGAAAUUUUGAAGACACAGAGCAGCCAAUAGCAAAUGAGGACAGAGUUUCUGUCUGGGAUCAUGAAAAAGUUCUGAAAGGGAAUAGCUGUGAUUGUGCAACAUUGUGAAUGUACUUAAUGCCACUGAAUUGUACACUUAAAAAUAGUUAAAAUGAUAAAUUUUAUGUUAUGUUUUACCAGAUUUUUUUUCAAAGAAAAAAUCAAAAGCUAAGCAACAUCUCUUUUGGUCUCUUGAUGUGUGGAAAGUCUUAGCUUCCUGGGCUGGAGGGAAGCCCAAGGGUGAAGGGGGAACACAAAGCUGUCUUUGGUAUCUCAGUGUUGACGGCCGUCAUGUGCAGAAGAGCAGACUGUGUCCUUGUCAAAGCCCACGGAUGUGCCAGUGCAAGAGCUACCACCUGGGGUGUCAGGCAUGGAGAGGGUGGGACUUCAAGUUUGGAAACAGCACAUGCCCAAUGCAUGAAGCUGCACAGCCUGCUCCUGAAGCUAUGGCCAGCAGGAAAAGACAGGAACCCUCGCAUGCUCAGGCCAGGACUUAAGUGGCUGGAUUCCAGUCCUGUUCUGCCAGCAACAUAUUUCAUAACCUCUCCAUCGGGCAAGUCCCUUCUCUAAGAACUGAGGACUAAACUCUGAGGUUUUUUAUCUUGCCCACAUUCCUAUCUAAGUGGUCUGGGGAGUCAUGCCUUACAAACCAUAAAGUCUCAUCAGAUGGAUUUUAUUUAAAUCCAUACAUCAUGGCUUACUUUCCAAAGUGACUCUGGCAUUUAACAUUACAAGACAAUCAAAGAAAAUAAAAAUAUUUUACCCCAAAGCAUGUUUCUUUGCCAUAUCUUGAAAUGGCCCUGCAAAACUGUCAUUUGUGGGGGAAAAUUUGCAUCUGUAAAGAAUCUCUAUUAACAUAGCUAGAUGUUUUUCUUCCAGGCCCUCCCAAUCCUAAUGAGAUUAUUAAAAGUUUAGCACCUUUUAAAGGUCUGAAUAGGAAACAUUUGUCAUCUAUUGCCUCUAAGGGCAGCCACGAUGAUAAGACUUCAAAAGAACCUUGGUCUCCACAAUCUUACAAUCUUUUUUUUUUUUUGAUGAAGUCUUGCUCUGCUGCCCAGGCUGGAGUGCAGUAGCACGAUCUCGGCUCACUGUGACCUCUGCCUCCCAGGUUCAAGCAAUUCUCCUGUCUCAGCCUCUGGGACUACAGGCACCUUCCACCACACCUGGCUAAUUUUUUUGUAUUUUAAGUAGAGGUGGGUUUUCACCAUAUUGGUCAGGCUGGUCUCGAACUCCUGACCUCAGGUGAUCCACCCACCUUGGCCUCCCAAAGUGGUAGGAUUAUAGGCAUGACCCACUGCGCCUAGCCAGUCUCUACAAUCUUUUUUCUUAACCUGAACAUUCCCUUUCUAUUCAUUCCAGGUCUUUACACAAACUCAUCCAAUUGUCAGCCAGAAAAUGUUUAAAUUCGCCUACAGUCUGGAAGGCCCCCCACCCCCAACUUUGAGUUGUCCCAUCUUUCUGGACCAAACCAAUGUAUUUCUUAAAUGUAUUUGGUUGAUGUCUCAUACCUCCUUAUAAUGUAUAAAACCAAGCUGUGCCCUGACCACCUUGCACACAUGUUCUCAGGACCUCCUGAGGGCUGUGUCAUGGGCCACGGUCACUCAUAUUUGGCACAGAAUAAAUAUCUUUAAAUAUUUUACAGAACUUGACCCUUUUCGUUGACAGAACUUUAGUUUUCUCACCACCAAAUGAAGGCACUGGACCAGAUUAUUUUUGUGUCUUCUCGAAACUCCAACAUUCUAUGAGUCUACCUAAAACAUUAGCGUUCUGACAAAUGUUAGUUGAAUGAGUCAAUGUAAACAGAAGGAUUUGUGUCCCCCUUGAGAGAAAACUGGGGGAAGUCCUGGGACCCUUUUAGGGCAGGGAGGAGCUGGAUGAACCUGGGCAUCUGCCGCCCUCGCCAACAGGAGUUGUGGGAGUGCUCCCUUCCCCAGGAGGUCACAGAAAACAAGCAUGUCCAGUGUGCCAGAGGAUUCGGACUGAGAGAACUACUCUUUUCCUUUAAGUGUGAUUGUUCAUCUCAGGAUAAAAUGGGAAAGGAAUGACCAAACCAACAGAACAUAAGAAAGAAGAACUCGGAGUCCAGGAAAGUCCUGGUGAGUGAGGGUGGAGGAGACAGAACCGUGGAGAGAGGGGCAUGUCCUCAGGAGAGACCAGGUCUCUCCCUCCUCUGGACUCUGCCCUGGGUUCUGCGGCUGUAGGUCAGGCGGGUAGGUAUCUGUGGGUGUUGUGGUGGUGUUCUUGUCUAUUUGGUGGGGGUGUGGAUUGAAAAACAAAGACGUCAUGUGGCUUUAGCUAAGAGGGAGGGAACAGAGAUACAACCACUAAAUCCCUUUCUUUUAAUUUUGCAAUAAUUGCAAUUUUUAAAGAAUUUUAAGACAGAUUCUUGGUAUUUGGAAAGCACUGAGUUCUUAGGAAAGAAGGUGCCGACUGCAUUGUAAAUACCCAACUUCUGUUUUCUGGGAAAAUCCAAUUUUCUGAAAGAAAACUGGAAUUAGAUAUGGCAUGUCAACUUUAAGUGCUAUUAUACGCACAAUUAUAAUAUGUUCUUUUGGCCUCGAAACUCUCAACUUGAAAAGGCGCAAUUUGCAAUCUCCUUGUGCCCAGAAGGCUCUGAAGAAGAAACACAAGUGAGAUAGGUACAGUUUGUGCUCAUUGUGCACCAGGGGGGAUGAGAAGCUCCACUAAAAUCAAUUUUCCCCUAUCUGAACCUUUCAUCUGGAAACAACAAAACAGUUUUCAGAUUCCAAUAACUUUGAAACAUUUACACAAUAGAGUACAGGCUUGCCUGUUCUCCUAACUAGCAUAUUCAGAACAUAAUUUAACCUUUUUCUUGUUGACUCACUAUGAAUCAUCAUUAUGAAUCAAAACUAUAGAAUUUUAGUACAAAAAGAGACCCUAGAGAUCAGCUAGCUCUGAUUUCUUCAUAUUCUAGAUGCCCAAAUGCUGGUGUGAUUGGAACUGGGUGUGGGGAGCUGGUCUAGAACCCACGACUUCAAUUCUUGUCCAGGCUGAGAAGGCCGUGUCCUGGGCCUGGCGCUCAUGGCAUGUUAACGGCGGUGGGGUGCCCCUGUGGUUGUGGGCGCCACCCAGGCCAGCUGCCCGCUGGCGAAAUGGGCUUGGUCUCUUCCUGCUCCGCACACUUUGACAUCAGCUCGUUGUGGCUCCCUGUCUCUGCUCUCCCGGGUGGCCAGUGACGCUGUGCGGGGUGCAGCGCCUGUGCUGUCUGCUUCUGAAGAAAAUCUCGACAAUUAGAAAGUCUUCAGUGGAGCUGGGAAACUGAAAACUUUCCAGGGGAAGCAGAAACCCAGGUUCUGUUACUUUGCUUCUGGAGACUUGAGCUUUGAUUUUGUUGUACUCAUAUCCUUUUCAAAAGGUGGUUUUAUAAUCAGCUACAGGACUCUGACAGGUGCUCUCGAAGGCAGGUGUUUAAUAACUUUGGAGACUGUGACACUAGAAUAGAGGAAAAACUUCCAAGACUCUCAUAGACAGAUAUAAAGAAACUGCUUUAAGGGAUCAGAGUUGACUUAGAAAGCCAAUAAAAGCCCCUUUGGAAAGCUGGCCUCCUACCUUGUCUACCCAGUUCUUGUACAGGUUUCUGACCUGUGCUGUGCCUUCUUAAAGGCUGGAGCCUGGAGCACAUGAGGAGAAUUCACAGAAGUGCCUGGAAAGGGAACUGCGGUGGAUCUUACAGAGACUUGAAACAUGUGGAGAAGUUUGGCUUUUAUUCAUAAAGGACAAAGUGCUGCCUCCACCUCCCCACCUGUCUAGUUUUAUUCAGUGAUGUCUAUCCUCAUGACUUGGGCCAUUUUCAUCAUCACGUCUAUUUGGUUACCUAGGUCUGCCGUUUUUUGUUUUUGUUUUUUCCCAAAUGCUUUCCACAUAAGAUGGCCUAGGUGUCAAUUGCUUAUCUCAGUGGAAUCAUUUCUACUCACCUAUAAAAUGGGAGUAAUAAAAAUGCUAUGUAUCCGAUUGUUGUGAGGAUGAAAUGGGAAUACUUGGACAUGGGGCCUGGUUGCUGGUGGAGGCAUCUGCUCUGUUCCCUGCUGCAUCCCUCACUUCCUGCCAUCCUCUUGCCCCACUUCUGCAGUGCUGAGUGACAGGCCCACAGCCUCCAUGCCCUCCUGUUCCUUCCUUCUCUGCUGAUCUUUUCUGUUUCCAGACACAUCUGCCACUACUGUCUGGUCCAAACACUCUUUCACCUAGGAAGUUUAAGCACGUUGUUGAACUAGAAAUAAUGUAUUCACUCAGUUACUUAUACACACAUUCUUUUCCCACUCAUUAAAAGUGGUUUGAAAAAUUUAUUUCAUUGUUCUUAAAGUGCUGAAUCAAGUGUUUUUCCUUUGGUUGGGAAAGGCCUUUGCCGUUUACCUUCAUCCACUCAUUCAUUUGUGAAGAUGUGUGUGCAGGCCCUAUGGUGACAGUGUCUGUCUAAAGUGAAGAGCUCAGCACCCAAACUCUAGAACAUCUGAAAACGUAGCUAGAUCCUGUGUUCUCUUCUCUAACAGAGUUAAAGUUAAGGUGCAUUUACUCAGUGCCUAGGGGGUAAAAAUGUGCGGUUCAGACUUCAACCAUGUGGGUGCUGUUUUUACCCAGAAUACCAACUGAUUCCAGGAAAGAGUAUUAGGAGAUUCAAGAUUUCUAUUUCUUUUGAACAUAUGUUAUUAGAGUUAAUUGUUAGGAAACUAUUUUAAAGAUAAUUAUUUGAAUACUGAAAAUGACUUUGAUUUCUAACAGGAAGCCAGGCUCACUUGUUACUUCCACAUAUGUGAUGAAGGCAAAAGACCACAGUUGCAUACAUUUGCAUAGUUAUCCUCGAGACUGGAAAUGUCAGUAAGAUGCAAUUGAUUGACUUGCUGAUUGUCUUUCCUCAUGUGAGCGUCUUUUCCAUGUUCAUGACCCACCACUGAUAUUCUGUGGAACUGAACUAAAACUAUGGUCCCCGAAGCCUUGUUGGGGGUGUGGAGGAAGGC
rnacentral:lncRNA from 10 species